UACGGAAGGCAGCAGUGGGGAAUAUUGCACAAUGGGCGCAAGCCUGAUGCAGCCAUGCCGCGUGUAUGAAGAAGGCCUUCGGGUUGUAAAGUACUUUUCAGCGGGGAGGAAGGGAGUAAAGUUAAUACCUUUGCUCAUUGACGUUACCCGCAGAAGAAGCACCGGCUAACUCCGUGCCAGCAGCCGCGGUAAUACGGAGGGUGCAAGCGUUAAUCGGAAUUACUGGGCGUAAAGCGCACGCAGGCGGUUUUGUUAAGUCAGAUGUGAAAUCCCCGGGCUCAACCUGGGAACUGCAUCUGAUACUGGCAAGCUUGAGUCUCGUAGAGGGGGUAGAAUUCCAGGUGUAGCGGUGAAAUGCGUAGAGAUCUGGAGGAAUACCGGUGGCGAAGGCGGGCCCCUGGGACGAAGACUGACGCUCAGGGUGCGAAAGCUGGGGAGCAAACAGGAUUAGAUACC
rnacentral:rRNA from 1 species